GGUUCGAUCAUGGCUCAGAUUGAACGCUGGCGGGAUGCUUUACACAUGCAAGUCGAACGGCAGCACGGGACUUCGGUCUGGUGGCGAGUGGCGAACGGGUGAGUAAUGUAUCGGAACGUGCCUAGUAGCGGGGAUAACUACGCGAAAGCGUAGCUACUACCGCAUACGCCCUUCGGGGGAAAGCGGGGGACCUUCGGGCCUCGCACUAUUAGAGCGGCUGAUAUCGGAUUAGCUAGUUGGUGGGGUAACGGCUCACCAUGCAGUGACGAUCCGUAGCUGGUUUGAGAGGACGACCAUUACUGACUGAGACACGCCCAGAUUCGCGGGAGGCAGCAGUGGGGAAUUUGGACAAUGGGGAAACCCGUCCAGCCAUCCCGCGUGUGCGAUGAAGGCCUUCAAGCAAAGCACUUUUGGCAGGAAAGAAACGGCACGGGAUAUCACCCGUGCAACCGACGGUACCUUGCAGAAUAAGCACCGGCUAACUACGUGCCAGCAGCCGCGGUAAUACGUAGGGUGCAAGCGUUAAUCGGAAUUACUGGGCGUAAAGCGCGCAGGCGGUUCGGAAAAAGAAAGAUGUGAAAUCCCAGAGCUUAACUUUGGAAUUGCAUUUUUAAAUUACCGAGCUAGAGUGUGUCAGAGGGAGUGUGGAAUUCUUACGUAGCAGUGAAAUGCGUAGAUAUGCGGAGGAACACCGAUGGCGAAGGCAGCCUCCUGGGAGGUAAUAUUCGACGCUCAUGCAAUGAAAGCGUGGGAGCAAACAGGAUUAGGAUACUCCUGGCAGUCCACGCCCAAACGAUGUCAACUAGCUGUUGGGGCCUCGGGCCCCGGUAGCGCAGCUAAUCGCGGGUUGACCUGUUCUGGGGAGUACGGUCAAGAUUAAAACUCAAAGGAAUUGACGGGGAUCGCACAAGCGGUGGAUGAUGUGGAUCAAUUCCGCGAUGCAACGCGAAAACCUUACCUACCCUUGACAUGUCUGGAAUCCCGAAGAGAUUUGGGGAAGUGCUCGCAAGAGAACCGGAACACAGGUGCUGUAAGUGGCUUGGCCGUCAGCUCGUGUCGUGAGAUGUUGGGUUAAGUCCCGCAACGAGCGCAACCCUUGUCAUUAGUUGCUACGAAAGGGCACUCUAAUGAGACUGCCGGUGACAAACCGGAGGAAGGUGGGGAUGACGUCAAGUCCUCAUGGCCCUUAUGGGUAGGGCUUCACACGUCAUACAAUGGUCGGGACAGAGGGUCGCCAACCCGCGAGGGGGAGCCAAUCCCAGAAACCCGAUCGUAGUCCGGAUCGCAGUCUGCAACUCGACUGCGGAAGUCGGAAUCGCUAGUAAUCGCGGAUCAGCAUGUCGCGGUGAAUACGUUCCCGGUCUUGUACACACCGCCCGUCACACCAUGGGAGUGGGUUUUACCAGAAGUAGUUAGCCUAACCGUAAGGAGGGCGAUUACCACGGUAGGAUUCAUGACUGGGGUGAAGUCGUAACAAGGUAG
rnacentral:rRNA from 1 species